AAUGGCUGCAGUAAUAUAACUGUACAAAGGUAGCAUAAUCAUUAGUUUUUUAAUUAAAAGCUUGUAUGAAAGGUUGGACGAAGUAAAAUCUGUCUCUUUUUAAUAUAAUUAGAAUUUAAUUUUUAAGUAAAAAAGCUUAAAUUUAUAUAAAAGACGAGAAGACCCUAUAGAGUUUAAUAAUUUAUUUUAAAUAAUUAAUUUAGAUUUAUUUAUUUUAUUUAUUAUAUAAUUAUUUUAUUGGGGUAAUAAAAAGAUUAAUAUAAUUCUUUUUUUUAUAUAACAUUAAUAUAUGAAUUAAAUGAUCCAUUUUUAUGAUUAAAAGAUUAAAUUACCUUAGGGAUAACAGCGUAAUUUUUUUAAAGAGUUCAUAUCGAUAAAAAAGUUUGCGACCUCGAUGUUGGAUUAAAGAUUAAUUUAGGUGUAGAAGUUUAAAUUUUUGGUCUGUUCGACCAUUAAAUCUUUACAUGAUCUGAGUUCAAACCGGUGUAAGCCAGGUUGGUUUCUAUCUUUAUAGAAUUUUUAUAUUUUAGUACGAAAGGACCAAAUAUUUAAUAUAUAAAUAUUUAAUAUUUUGAAUAU
rnacentral:rRNA from 2 species